AAUAUAUGUGGUUUCGAGAGUAUCAUGUGAAUUAUU
rnacentral:guide_RNA from 1 species